GACGUAGGGGGCCAGCGUUGCUCGGAAUUACUGGGCGUAAAGGGUUCGUAGGCGGUGCGGCAAGUCGGGAGUGAAAUCUCUGGGCUUAACUCAGGGGCUGCUUCCGAAACUGCCGUGCUUGAGUGCGGGGAGAGGCGAGUGGAAUUGCAGGUGUAGCGGUGAAAUGCGUAGAUAUCUGCAGGAACACCCGUGGCGAAGGCGGCUCGCUGGACCGCAACUGACGCUGAGGAACGAAAAGCUAGGGGGAGCAAACAGGAUUAGAAACCCC
rnacentral:rRNA from 1 species